UACGGAAUAAUUGUUGGAAACGGCAACUAAUACCGUAUACGCCCUACGGGGGAAAGAUUUAUUGCUAUUAGAUGAGCCUAUAUUAGAUUAGCUAGUUGGUAAGGUAAUGGCUUACCAAGGCAAUGAUCUAUAGCUGAUCUGAGAGGAUGAUCAGCCACACUGGAACUGAGAUACGGUCUAGACUCCUACGGGAGGCAGCAGUGGGGAAUAUUGGACAAUGGGCGAAAGCCUGAUCCAGCCAUGCCGCAUGAGUGAAGAAGGCCUUUGGGUUGUAAAGCUCUUUCGGUGAGGAAGAUAAUGACGGUACUCACAGAAGAAGUCCUGGCUAACUCCGUGCCAGCAGCCGCGGUAAUACGGAGAGGGCUAGCGUUAUUCGGAAUUAUUGGGCGUAAAGAGCGCGUAGGCUGGUUAGUAAGUUAAAAGUGAAAUCCCAAAGCUCAACUUUGGAAUUGCUUUUAAAACUGCUAACCUAGAGAUUGAAAGAGGAUAGAGGAAUUCCUAGUGUAGAGGUGAAAUUCGUAAAUAUUAGGAGGAACACCAGUGGCGAAGGCGUCUAUCUGGUUCAAAUCUGACGCUGAGGCGCGAAGGCGUGGGGAGCAAACAGGAUUAGAUACCCUGGUAGUCCACGCUGUAAACGAUGAAUGUUAAAUAUGGGGAGUUUACUUUCUGUAUUACAGCUAACGCGUUAAACAUUCCGCCUGGGGACUACGGUCGCAAGAUUAAAACUCAAAGGAAUUGACGGGGACCCGCACAAGCGGUGGAGCAUGUGGUUUAAUUCGAUGCAACGCGAAAAACCUUACCACUCCUUGACAUGGAAAUCAUACCUAUUCGAAGGGAUAGGGUCGGUUCGGCCGGAUUUCACACAGGUGUUGCAUGGCUGUCGUCAGCUCGUGUCGUGAGAUGUUGGGUUAAGUCCCGCAACGAGCGUAACCCUCAUCCUUAGUUACCAUCAGGUAAUGCUGGGGACUUUAAGGAAACUGCUAGUGAUAAACUGGAGGAAGGUGGGGAUGAUGUCAAGUCAUCAUGGCCCUUAUGGAGUGGGCUACACACGUGCUACAAUGGUGGCUACAAUGGGUUGCAAAGUCGCGAGGCUAAGCUAAUCCCUCAAAAGCCAUCUCAGUUCGGAUUGUACUCUGCAACUCGAGUGCAUGAAGUUGGAAUCGCUAGUAAUCGUGGAUCAGCAUGCCACGGUGAAUACGUUCUCGGGUCUUGUACA
rnacentral:rRNA from 1 species